AGUGAACGCUGGCGGUAGGCCUAACACAUGCAAGUCGAACGGCAGCACAGUAAGAGCUUGCUCUUACGGGUGGCGAGUGGCGGACGGGUGAGGAGUACAUCGGAAUCUACUUUUUCGUGGGGGAUAACGUAGGGAAACUUACGCUAAUACCGCAUACGACCUACGGGUGAAAGCAGGGGAUCUUCGGACCUUGCGCGAUUGAAUGAGCCGAUGUCGGAUUAGCUAGUUGGCGGGGUAAAGGCCCACCAAGGCGACGAUCCGUAGCUGGUCUGAGAGGAUGAGCGUCCACACUGGAACUGAGACGCGGUCCAGACUACUACGGGAGCCACCCGUAGGGAAGCGUGCACAAUGGCUGAAAGCUUGACGGCUCUACUCCGCGUAAGUGAGGAAGGUCUUCUGAUCUUAAGACUCUGUGACUAGGGAAAAACAAUGGUGGACGGAACUCUGCACGGCGUCACGCGAGCUAAUCAGAAAGCCACCGCUAAUUUCGUG
rnacentral:rRNA from 1 species